CAGGUGCUGUGGCUCACGCCUGUAGUCCCAGCACUUUGGGAGGCCGAGGCGGGUGGAUCACUUGAGGUGCAGGAGAAUCACUUGAACCUGGAAGCCAGAGGUUGCAGUGAGCCGAGAUCGUGCCACUGCACUCCAGCCUAGGCCACAGAGCAAAACUCCAUCUCAAAAAGAAAAAAGAAAAAAAAAAGAAUAAUAAUAAAAUGAUCAAUGAAAGACUUUCGAGGUUAAAAUACAAAGAUAAUGGGUGAGGGUUUAUAAUAUUUGUCUGCUGGAGUAAAGCUUAUUCAUGUAUUUUUUCUAAAAUAAAAGAUGGCAGCUGUCAAACUGGUAUUGUUAUAGACUCCACUGGACACAUUUUUAAAAGUAACAGAAGAGGCUGGGCGUGGUGGCUUACGGUCCUUAGGUAACAUGGAGGAGCCCUUUCCUUCUUGGCCUUCCACUGGCUUCUGUGCAAGGAAUGGGUCACUUUAGCAGCCCUUAGGUGAGUCCCUUCUGGCUCUGACCAUUUUUUAUUUGAAAUAUUAAAGAGACUGCCGGGAGUUGGAGGCUUGGUGGUCUGUUUUGUGAUCCUCCAAAUGAACAAAUCAACUGGGGUUAUGAUAUCAAUUCAUGGAGCUUAAGCCCCACUCUGAUGCUGACAGAAGAGUUCACCUGCACAGUUUGAGCCCCUGACAUCCCUCUGAGGCAGACAAGGUCCAGACCACCAGCU
rnacentral:lncRNA from 1 species